AAGCACUAGCCAAGAACCUUAGUAACUUGUCUCUCAACCCUAGUAUUCAGUUCUCUUCCCUUCCACAAAAUCAUUCACCCCAACAGCAGGACAGAAAAGAAGAAAAAUCGGAGUAUGUAGUGGGGAUGAGUUAUGGCCUGGUCUACAGGAGGAGACGUGGAGUGAGGACCAUGGCAAGUCUUAAAAGAGACCUCAAAGGCCUGUUUCCAAUAUGGCUGAGGCUAAGGAAUGAGGCUAUUCAAAACCGCAAGAAGAACAAGAAAGAACCUGUGUUUCAUUGUGGCUGUAGUUAUUGCCUAUUACAUCGAGGUGCUCCUUCUGGUAUUGCUGAGAAUUGUGACAUGGAGACAUUUUAGGCAUACACCAUAUUCUUGUACCACUCAUUUAAUUUGUAACACAUUUUUUGGUGUGUUAUUUCCAUUUUUAGUAGCAAAUGUGUGUAUAGCGCAUCUUUAAUAAACUUGAGGCAUAUAUGAGA